rnacentral:rRNA from 1 species
GACGGGAGAUGCAAGCGUUGUUCGGAAUCACUGGGCUUAAAGCGCGUGUAGGCGGUUUGGUAAGUACCUUGUGAAAUCCCGCGCCCCAAUCGCGGAACUGCUUGGUCUACUGCCAAACUCGAGGCUGGUAGAGGUGCCUGGAACUCUAGGUGGAGCGGUGAAAUGCGUAGAUAUCUAGAGGAACGCCCGUGGCGAAAGCGGGGCACUGGGCCAGUCCUGACGCUGAGACGCGAAAGCGUGGGGAGCAAACGGG